CACCUCAGGUCGAGCUCAUCGUCACUAACACGAGCACUGAGACGGACAGCUAACAGCUAACGCUAACAGGUUGUGUCACAUCGUUGUUGUUGUUUAUGACUGACGUGUGCAGAGCUGCAAACACCCGGAUGGGUGUGCAGCUUUUUAAAAGAUGACAAACCCCCUCGAGGAUGAGAAACGCCACGAGGACACGAGGAGGAGGCGUGCUGCAAAUCCCAUGAAAGCAGCAGACCCACAGUAAAUGUUCGCUACACCACCGUCUAAUAGAUCCUCUCAUCCCUCUGCACCGCCCAGCCCCGCCACUGUUAAAGUUUCACCUCAGGUCACCUCGGCUUGCUCGGACACCGUCGCCAAAGUGUUUCUGAACCAUCAGCAUCAUCCAGGUUUCCAUCUUUUCCUUCCAAAGUCCAACCGAAAGCUCUUCUCCUUCUUUCUUUAACUCUUUAAUCUCCACGUGGAAGCAAAGUGGAAUCAGCUGCUGCUGUCUGACUGAAAGCAUCAGGAGACGUCUGUGGCAGAACCUGACGUGUUACGUGGAGGUCAGAGGUCGUGUAGAGGACCCAGCUGCAGGAUGCUGAGGCAGGCAGACUGCCGGGACAGACGGGCCGACAUGCGGACGUUUCCACAGCCGAGCGGCUCCAACAGAGGACAUGCAGCGGUUUCACUGAACCUGUCGUCACAUCAGGAGGACUCCCUCAUGCGUCACCUACAGUGAGAUCAUGCUGGCACACCAAAACUCUACCAGCGCUAAACGUCCGAACAAAUCCUGGAACGAUUUCAUCCCGUUUGUUCCAGAUUAUUGGGAACUUUCUGAGAAAGGUCUGCUGGUAACAUGGCGGUCGGUUUCACAGCUGCUGAAGGAUGAAACCGACAUCAGAAGGUGGAUGAAGCAGGAGAACAUGGUGUGUUUGUAGGGCAGGCAUCACAGAGGAGACGGAGCAGAGGGGACGAAAGCAGGACACGGCUGAUGGAGUGUGCAAAGAGAGGAGGUGGAGGAUGGUAGAGCGGGAGGAUGGUUGGUUAGUUGGUUGGAGGGGGAGGAUGAAGAGACACGAUAACAGCAGGAGGGAAGAAACAGCAGAUGAGAUGAAGACUGCAAAGACUCGCAGGGGGAGUAGAAGGUUCAUGGAGCUGGCAUUUGGAGGACAGGAGCAGGCUAACGAAGGAAAGGUGAAACUGAGACUAAUGAAUGAAGGGGGGGGGGUGAAGUCACGAGCUCGCCCUCAGUGCCCGUCGGCCUCCUCAGGCUCGAUGAUUAUUGACGUGUUUCUGAAAGAAAUGCAUCGUGGGAAAUGUGGUCGAAACAUGGCAUGAAACUGUUCUAAGAUGUUUUCUCCAAUAAAUAAAUGGAAAUGAUA